UCACAUGCGUCCUAGGGGCACUUGCAUGCCACUUCUGGUCAUGCUCAGUAAGAAGCCACAUCACUAACGACAAGAGCAGGGGUGUCAGAAUUCAGGCCUUAGGUGCCGGUGUCCAAUAUACAGUACUUUCCAACCAACUUGCCAUUGAAGCUUCUUAUUGGCUAAACACACCUGGUCCAGGUAAUCAACAGCAGAUAAGGAAGGAUUUCUGGAAAACCAGCUGGUGGCCGGCCCUCAAGGCUUGGAGUUUGACACCCCUGGACCAGGGUGUGGCACAUGGACACCAUAUGACAGCAUUACCCCUACAUCAAAAAUGUAGAUAUGCUUACCGCAUGCAAAGCCAUCAUACACUCCAUUUUCAUGACGCCUUUUAAGGUGGCCGCAAGAGCCUCAAGAGUACCGUACUGUAAUACACAUCUGUGCUCCUCUUAAAAUGCGGCCCCUCUUGUCUAUGACUCUCCACAGGCCCUGACAAACCAAAAACCCACAGCCCCCAAGGUCAACCCUUGUAUGGGUACAUGUGACUCGAGGCUUAGUAGCAGAAAGCAGUGGUUUUUAAGUUAGUCAAACUUUAAAUGUAAUUGAAUUUUUUUCUGUAUGCAUCACCUGAUGUUUUUGACUUCUUAAUGUCCAAGUACAUUUUAGGCAGGCUGCUAAUCCAUCACACAAAAAUACAGAGCAAACCAUAUCAUCAUUCUGAGUCCUGGCUGCACAAACAAGACAUUUCAAAGUCAGCGUUGCUUUGAAAAAAAAAGAAAAAGAAGUAUUUGUUGACAUUGACAUUUCAGCAAUCCUGUCUCCAAUGAAAUAAUAAGAAAAACUGCAACAAUAUUUCCGACUGAGGCAGCGUAGGCUUAGAUCGGCAUUAAAAUGAAUGAAUACAUCAAAGAAGAAAACUAAGGUAAACAUAUUUUGCAGAAUGCAGCUGCAAGCUGCCAUCAUUUGUGUCUAGAAUGUGGCUGUCAGUUAUCAGCUGCUGUCUGGAACUUGAAAACAAACAAAACUCCAACACAAUUUUCUUAAGACAUUCUGUCUGACAUACAGUCAGAUGAAUAUGUUCCUGGUUUUAUUUCAAUUUAAAAUUCUCCAUGUUUGCUAUCAAGACAAAAGAUUCAUUCAUUCAUACAUCUUCUAAUCCGUUCUAUCCCUUUCGGGGUCACUGGGCUGCCGGAGCCUAUCCUGGCCACUUGUGGGCGAAGGCAUUUCGUGUAACUAAAAACCUAAGAAGCAUAUUUUGGACUGUAGGAAGAAGCCGGACUAAACAAAGACAAGAAAAAACCAAUGAAGAAGAAAAAGAUCUAAAAACGUUUUAUUGCUUAGUCUCUGUCGAAUUUUCUUGCACGAGCAGAGAUCGGCAAAUUCCAGACAUUUUUCUGAGUCAAAAGUUGCAACAUUUCUUCUGUAAUGCAAUGACUAACUCUAAUGUACCUCAUAGUAAAAAACUUUCAAGUAAAAAGUGGCUCUCAGAUUUUAUAUGUUUGCAUAUGUAUGGCCACUUGUAACUUUUUUGAAGCCAAACUUUGACUUUGUUAUUAGUUUAUGGUUUAGUUGCAACUGCUUGUACGGCGGGGUCCCACAGGAUAUAGAAAGGUCACUUCUUGCCACAAACAUGACAAUCGUAAGUAAUAUUUUCAAUUAAGGGAAUAGCAGGACACACUUGCGCCUCCCUUAAUAUGCGCCUCGUCUAAUACCCUCCAUGGCCCAGAAAAUCCAAAACAUCACACCACCCUUACGAGUGCAUGUGACUAUAUAACAAAUUCCAAAUGAUUGCAAGUUUUCAACACAAAGCUCUUUAUCCUAAAAAGACUAGGUAAAGUUCAGAUCAAGUUAAGUUAUUUUGUAGUCCUCCCCCCAAAGACUAUUUAUGAGUGUCAAAGUUACAUCUUUUUCAAAUUUUUUGGAUGUUUAAAACAAGACGUUCUUGUAGUUGUAUGAAAUAUGAUGCUAUGUACCCACCGGGCAUGUGACGUGUGUGCCAGAACGAGCUGAAUGCUGGUUUCUGUACAUGUUUUAGCAUUUGGGGUUCACAUUGGAUUGUCACCAUCCAUUACUAGCGCAUGUACCUAUAGUUGGAAUAGGCUUGGUGUGAGAUGUGUAAGCAGUGCAAAUCUCGCAAAUUCUGCUCCAGGCUUUUUCAUACACAGGUCUAUUUCGAUAUAUGAAAGACUUGGUGACAUAUAGUUCCAGCCGGCUACGAACCGUAAUUAGUUUUUCCUUCUUUGUGAUCAAUUUUCAAACAGUUAUUAAUUCAGUGAAUUAAAAAGGACACUACCCAUACAUCACUACCAAAUACAAGUUCCUGAACUCGUUCAACUGGUUUCACUUUCAGCGUUCAAUAUCUGCACGGUUUCUUAGUAGAGCCCAAACUUAACUUGAUUGGUGACGCAUGAAUGCAUGAGUUUUGAACGGAGAACCGCAUAUAUGCACGUUUACAUAGACUUUUUAUUGAAAGUGGUGGCCUUCACUUUGAACUAAUAACUAAAUAGCCGUCCUACUCAGCCAACCACAAUAAAAAUAAUUUUGUCUUUAACUUUAUAGAAUGGUAGUCUCUUUCUGCAUUCUCCACCCGAUUCUCCACCUACAGCAAUGCUUUGAGAUGGUCUGACCUCUAACCACCAUCAGCAACUAGACUCUGGGGAUUAAACAUCUAUGGUCCGAGUUCAUCCCAAGCACGUCAUCGGUUGAGCGCCUAAUUUACAAAGAUUAGGGACUUAUUUCAUGCACAUUUUUCUGCAACACAAACAAAUCUUUACUUGCAUUAACUCUUCUGAUUUAAAGUGCUGGUUGAAUGCUGCAGAUAGGAGGUAAUGUUGAACUUGCAGGUAAACUGGUUUGAGGUAUCUCAAACUUAAACAGAAUUCUUGCAGCACAUAUGAUCUGCUGAAGUUUUAGCAGACAAAUUUUGUUAAAUGAAAUAUUUGUUGGUCAUCAUUGCAUGAGUUGGAAAAAUGGAUGACACAGCAGACACACCAUAUGUCUUGUGUGUGCAACUUCAACCAUGCACUAAAAAGUUAUACACUGUUAUCACCAGUUAACAGUAAGGGUUGAGUUUACAAUUUCAUUUUUUAGAUUUACUAAGACAAAAAAAAGACCAAAUACAAGAAAUAUUUUUAAAAACUUUAUUUACCUAAAUUUUAUACACUAACUGCAUCAAAUUAAAAGGUUAAGGAGGUUUUUUGUAUCUGCUGAGUGAUAAAAACGUCUAUCCCAUGUCGUUUCUCGUGUUGUGUUUUUAAGUCACACGUGUCUGUCUGUCAGGCAGUCUGAUCAAAUUCAACAGGAGAGACAUCCAAACCAAAUACUUUGAAUUCGCUGAUACAGUUAAAUAUGCUCAUUAGAAAGCAGCAAGGUUCCCAUGAAACUGUUGCAUGAUGUCAUUUCUAGGAAAAAAAUCAGUUCAGAGAACAAAACUGUUGAGUUUUAUUAGUGAUGGAGUUCUUAUAUAAAAAGAAUGUAAAAAGGAAGAAACAACCUCAAUUCUGGGCUCAGCAGUGUGCUGACUGUCCUCACAAAGGGAAACAUCUUUUUUUUUUAUUCUAAGACAGACUUUUCCGAUUCGAGGAAAAAAGAUGAAAGGUUUGGGAGAAAGCCUCAAAUUUCAAAUGAUUGAGCAGACCACAGGGUCACAUUAUGGAGUUAUAAGCCUUGUGCUAGCAACUGUACCUCCUAAAAUGCAUUCUUUUUGUCCCCAUUUUUCCAUUGUAUCUAGCCCUAUACAAAAAGUAGAAACAAAAUUCAAAAUGAAAGACUCUGCCCAGAUGAAAAGCAACCUCACAUUUUAAAUAAUAAAAAAACGCUUUCAUCUAAGUGAAGUGAACACUUUUCCCAUGAACUCAAAUACGGCAGUUUUAUCAAAGCAUUUGUGUCUUUUACAUAUGCUCAAGAUCUUCUCUGGUGUAAGUCCUGAUGUACACCAUGGGGAGCAGCGGAUGCUUGGGGCACCAAAUGCUUCUGUAUAAUUAAACAAUAAAGACUAAUUUGACAGGAAGAAAGAGUUUCUUAGUAAGUCUGCAGCCUGAAUGUGCUUUUGGUUUUGGCAGCUGUCAGUUAUUGCUCCACCAAUAUCAACAAUAUUUUCUUGUGGACCAAGUUUUUCUUUUUUUAAAAAAAAACAUGGUUUGGGAUCAACACAAGAAAAAAAAAAGGUUAAAAAUCCUAUUAAUAAUGAAACAAUAACAAAAGAAAAAAAGAAAUAUAUGAAUUAUAUAUGCAUAAAGUAUUAAAUAACCCUUGUCAUGUGCUACAGUUUUAUAUUUUUGGAGUUGAGGUAACGUGUUUUGAAUGAUAAAUCAAACUCAUAAAUCAAACUCGAAAGCAUGUCCAGUCGGAAGUCCAAAUCUCAAGUCUAUGUAUUUAGUUUUUCCCAGUCUUCAAUUACAAUUAUUUUGUUUAAGUAUUUGCGAUCUCAACCAAAUCUAUUAUUUUUCUCUGUCUGACUUAACAUUUGGGCCAAAGGUUGACAAUGAUUUACUUUUAUAUUUUCACAUUCAUAACAUUUACAUUAAAGAAACCAAAAAAAAAAAAAAAAAAAAUCAUAAAAAUAGGAGGAGGCAGGAAGAAAGUGAUGCUCCAUAGGGGUCAAUGCACACCUUCAUUAUGGAGCUGUGUGCAACUUUUUAGUAAUUUUUUUUCAUUGACAUGUUUUAUAUGAAAUGCUGAUGAGUUACAGGUGUUCCUCAAACAAUAUGAGUUGGAAACCAAAAUACAAUUUUAAUAAUCUAUGAGUUUACAACAUUGUCACAAGAACAGGCAGAUGGCUGGAUCCAAAUGUAGCAGGUUUAUUAGCUCAGCUAAAAAUCCACUAAGCUAAAUCAGGGUCAGGCAGGCCGGGUUUGGUAACAGGCACAAGAUCAUCAAAGGAGGGACAGAGUAGUCAGGAUCCAGGCGAGAGUCGGGGCAGGCGGCAGGCAAACAGAGACAUGGGUCAGGAAACAGAAGAUCAUGUCACGGUGCCUGGCAGUCUCCUCCCCCCUCCAGCUCUGCUCUGAUGUUCCUGAUUGCCACCAGCUGCCAUCACUCUCCUCAUCAUCUUCUAUGGAUUCAAAAGGAGGCCCAACGCCACUACUCGACGCCAGUUUGUUACCCCUUAUGGUGACAGUUCUGGUUCUAAGCUUCAUUACUGCUUUGCUCAAAGUCUCUGGGUCCUACUAAUUCUAUGUUCCCUGUCUCAGGAUCCAAACUCUCACGAGUGACGGCAGCACGGACCUUUCAUUCUAAGGCUCAGGAGAUCGGAAACCCUUGGCACCCGCUAACCGCUUCUAAACCCUCCAGCCUCGCCACAGCCACGUCUAGUCUGGACCUUCUUCAACCAACCAUCUUCACCUCUGGAGAAAACAAAUCCUUUCUCAUCAUCCACUUACCUGUCUUCCUUCUGGGUUGCAGCAUCUGGGUUCCUCAUCCUUGUGAGAUCAUGACAGAUCAGGACCAAAUAUAAUGCUCGGGUGGCCUGGGGCAGGAGGCGUGGCCUUCUAUACUGGUGUCUCUGCACACCUGCACCCAAUCUACACUGGUCCUUUAAAAGCCUCUCCCUGGCUCCUCCAACCUGCCAGGUUAUUUUCCUUUCCAUGUGGCCUCGCCCUUGUUCCUGUGAUCGCUGUCUGUGGCCCAGCCUCCUACCUUCACUGCCAGUCUGCCUCCUUUGGUUUUGUUCCUGUAGUGAAGCUAAUAAACGUCACUUAUCUGACACUUCCAGUCUGACUCUGCUCUGGGAUCCGUCUACACGCCGUAACACAGGCAAAGAAAAAGUCUACUAUAAAGCGUAAAAAAAUAUCAUGAAACAAACCCCCGCUUUAUCUAAAAUAAUUUUGAAACUAUGGUUUUCCUCUUUCUUUAACAAGGUUGGGCGGGAUGCAGUUUCAGGAAGUGGCACAUCCUCAAUUACAACCUUGCCGGAAUUGGCAUAACCUUUCUCCAUACCGUCUUCUCGUGAAAUUUGAGAGGUGAGAUGAUGACAUUAAGCUUGGUUGGUCAUUUUAGCGGCUGAAUUUGAGAUUUAUUUUGGAUACAAAUGGAUACAGAAAUAACUUAAGCCCUAUUUAAUAACUAACACUAAUUGUUUAUUUAAAUCAUACAUUUUUAUAUAUAUGUAUUUAUAUGCUUUUCCUAUAAAACCACAAACCAGAGGUACAUGCAGUUAUGUGUAGCAGAAAAUAUAAAUAACGAGAGAAAAUGUGAGCUACAGUAAUCCAUUUUAAUUUAUAUUAUCCACAGCAGAGAAGAACUCAAAGAGCUAAGCUUCUUCCACAUUAAAUUACAUCAAAACAUUCUGAAGAGUUAGAAUAAGUCUAUAAUGAGCAAAUGGUCAUUCAUAUUAAAAAUAUACAUCAAUGCCAACUGACUUCUCUGAGCUAUAAUAUUUGCAUUAGCUGAGAUAAUUAUACAAAAUUAAAGUUCUUGACUGAUAAAUAUGCACUGGGUCAAAGUAGGCUUUUAUUUUUAUUUUUUGUGUUGCGAAGAUUUCUUCGCAGUCUGUAAAAUCAGAAAUCAUUUGAAGGAUUUUUGCUCCCUGGAUAAAGAAAUAGAAGGGAGAUGCUGCAACCUGCUAUGAUUGAACAAUUUUCCACCAACAAAAAAGAGGAAACUACUGUACCCUUUCACACAUUUGAAAUGUUCUGAACUUUUAAGCUUCUCCAAAUUCUCAUGAAUAUUAAUUUCAGCUUUAUAUAAAAAAAAACAAAAAACAUGUGUUCUUAAAAACAUCAUACACUGUACCAGCAGAGACUGGAGUCAGCAGGAAGGAUUGACAGGAGCUGAGGCAGCAGAGAAAGUCACUGUGACAACCCAUUCUGAAGCAGGGUGCUGAAAGUAAACGGAAUAAAGUGAUGACUGGGAUAUUUUGGAGAUCAGAUUUAUGAUGGCCUCCGUGAUGAACUGCUGAAAAACAUUUUGGAAACAGAAUAUUGGAGCCAACUUUCCAACAGGUUUUUCUUUAUAGAAAUAAAUCCAUAAACUCUGUAUAUAAGGAUUUUAUUCAAACAAAUGUUUGUUCUUUCUAUAUAAUAAGUGAUUUUUAAUUUUAGACUGUUCCUUGAAACUGUAGCUGUAAUUGUACCACCAAAUAUUCCAAGCAGACAACCCAGUCAAUGAUUAUCAGGCUUGGCCACAGUAGCUGACACAGUAAUUGACUAACGUGUGAAGUAAUUUCAUGCAGAAAUUAUUUAGCAUUUUUGGUGUAGUUUAAUUUCAAAGUGGAAAUGCAGACUCCAGGAUGGUGGCUCGGGGAGAUAGGAGACGGCUCUGUGCCUGAGUUCAUGCAUAAGAAGAUAUGUCUGCCAUGCUGUGUUUGAUUAAUGGCACCACAGGCCUGCUCAUCAAGAGGUAAUAAAAUAUGAGGGCAUAAGUCAGACUGCAUCCCAGUGUUCUGACAGGUGUUCAGGUCUUUAAGCCAGAGCUUCUCUGAGGUAGCCAAAUCAAAAGAUCUGUCUUCAUCCUCCGUCUAAAUGAUUUCUAAAUGUUAAAGCCUCCAAGCCAAAAGUCAAAGGAGCUAUGAUCUCUGAAUCGAAAAAAAUAGGCAACAUACGGUUUCAAAUCACAAAAUAGUUUAUUAUCAUGUUUUCAUACACUAUGUGGAAAAAGAUCGAGCUGAAGGUUUUUUUUGUUGUUCCUUAAAGUUUGUCUAAAAUUCAACUAUCCAGUGUGUUUACUGCAGAUGUUGAUCGACUGAGAGCAGAGCAUGAUUUCUGGACAAAUCCUUGAAACAUCUUUUAAAAAAUGCAGUCAGAGGAAAUCCCUGAGACCAGAGACUUCUUUGAUUUUGAUCAUAUUCUUGUCUUUUUUAAAGUCAGAGGACACUUCAGUUUGGGAAAGGAUGACUUCAGGGGUCUGCAAGCUGAGGCUCUGGAGCUUCAGGUUUUAUUUCUCGAAUGUGGCUCCUAAUUGCAUUUACACGCACAGACCAGUACACAUGUUACACCAAAGCUAUAAUUUUUUUAUUCAAUAGUAAAUUGAGAAUAAAAUCAAAUUCAUGCAAAAUGUAAUGUUUUACUUCACUUUAUUGCAUUUUUAAUUCAGGUAAAUCUGCUAUAGCAGGGUUGGAUUUGAUUUUUUGAU